GAAAUCAAAAUUCAUAAAUAAAAUAGAUGUAAUAAUGCAUGAUGUGUUAAACGUAAAAUCACUCCCAAGCUAAAGAAAAAAUAAUAAACCACGACAAUCAACAGAAAAGAAAAAACAACUCAAAGAAAAAGAGAAAGAGAAUAACACACUAACCUAGCGGAUGACAAUUACAAUGGUUGAAGAAAACAUAAAAUACAAGCGUGG
rnacentral:lncRNA from 1 species